GGCCGUGUAGCUCAAUCGGUAGAGCACCCGCCUGUCGAGCGGGAGGUAGCGGGAUCGUAACCCGUCACGGUCG
rnacentral:tRNA from 1 species